CAAUAGCGUAUAUUAAAGUUGUUGCAGUUAGAACGCUCGUAGUCGGAUUUCGGGGCGGGCCGACCGGUCUGCCGAUGGGUACGCACUGGUCGGCGCGUCCUUCCUUCCGGAGACCAUUCCUACUCUUAACUGAGCGGGGGCGGGAGACGGAUCGUUUACUUUGAAAAAAUCAGAGUGUUUCAAGCAGGCAGCUCGCUCUUGCAUGGAUUAGCAUGGGAUAAUGAAAUAGGACUUUGGUGCUAUUUUGUUGGUUUCGAACACCGAAGUAAUGAUUAAAAGGGACAGUCAGGGGCACACGUAUUCCGCCGAGAGAGGUGAAAUUCUCAGACCAGCGGAAGACGAACUACUGCGAAAGCAUUUGCCAGGGAUGUUUNCACUGA
rnacentral:rRNA from 1 species